AUUUUAUUGUACACAAUUUUAUUAUCUCGUAGAUAAUAAAUCAAAUAUUAGUAUGCAAAUACUCAUAUUACCGGUCAGUAAAAAAAAACGGUUUAUAUCAGUAUUAAAAAAAGGUUUUAUCAUGAACUCAUUAACGGCUCUUAUCAGUACCUGCCUACCGGGAAUAAACGACACAGUUACCUUAUUCUUAAUAGAGAUAGUUACUUUAAAAUAUAUACCUAGGUUUUAAAUUUUUAAUAAUUUAAUGUGGACAUAACAAUAUUAUAUAUUUCAUCAUUUUCUCAAAUUUAUAGUAGUCAUCAGUCACAGUUAGCUGUUAACAACUGCUAAAAAUCAAUUAUCAAUCUAUAUUAAGAUAGAGUAGAUAAGUAUGUCAUUUAUUUCAAGUAGGUUUAUUGAUAUAAAUAGUUCUUUUUAUACUGUCUGGU